CUUCCUUUUUCUUUCCCGAUCUUCUCUCUAUUUGCUCUCUCGAUCUAAAAAGGCGAAUCGAUGGUCUAGAAAAAUCAAUCGAUUCGACUGGAGGAUUGAUGGUCACCCGAGAAUAAGAUUCUCAUCAAAACCGAACCAAAGCCCUCGUCUUCGUCUUCACCGCAUCAACCCACGACGGAGACGAAACAAGUCGACGAAGAUGAUUCUUACGGAUUCGAGACUGCCAGCGAACGUGAAAUCAGCUAUGAAGAAGGAGAUGAAAAUGGUACUAAAAACGACGCCGUCACUAGUCAGGAGGAGAAACCACAACACUAGGAGAACAAAAAAGAACAGAUUUUGUGGAGGAGGAUGCACUACGAUUGAUCUGUGAUGGCUUUGAUUGAUCCUUGUCAAGCGGGUCUGAAGAUGCAGGAGCAGGGAGAUUCAGAUCACCAGGAUCAGGAGUAGGAUUAGUUGCUCCUUCUCCUCAGUAGCAAUCAAGCACAAGCUCAAGCUUAAGCUCAACAUCUCAAGACAUCGAACAGAGUGUUAAGCUCAACAUCUCGUUUUUGACUAGGCUCCUCAUACAACUACUGACCAAGAACAUACAACAAGCUAUUUUGGAUUCAGUGGAAUCCCAUGAAGAAAAAAAACAUCAACGGUCUUGUAUAAGAGUUGUAGAUUCUGUGUUAUGGCAUGCUGCUUCAAGUACUCUUUGUAAAUUCAAAAUUCAAUGUUACAACAAUGUUUAAGUGAAUCAUUGUUAAUCUUUUCAUAUCCACAAUUGUGAAUCAUUUUGAAUCAUUGAAACAUUGUUUAAGGAUGAGUGUGGACAACUUCUUGAAACAUUGUUUAAGUGAGCUUUUGUUGUUCUGCAAUAUAGGUUCCUUGUAGAUAUUUCACCAUUUUGAGUUUUCUUCUAUAUCAAUUGAAUUUUUAUUGUA